GUUCGGAUUGUAGUCUGCAACCCGACUACAUGAAGCCGGAAUCGCUAGUAAUCGCGGAUCAGAAUGCCGCGGUGAAUACGUUCCCGGGUCUUGUACACACCGCCCGUCACACCAUGGGAGUUGGAAAUGCCCGAAGUCAGUGGCCCAACCGGAAGGGGGGAGCUGCCGAAGGCAGGUUCGAUGACUGGGGUGAAGUCGUAACAAGGUAAC
rnacentral:rRNA from 1 species